UCCAGAAACUGACCUUUAGACAAACCAGCACAAGCCUUAACCAAGGCACACCACACCAUGGCUGUUUCCCAAUGACCUCCUACCCCCAGUUACUGUGAAAGUGUGACUCCCCUCUGAUGCAGUACCCAUGACAUCACAUGUAAUGUCACAUUCCUGAAAGCUCUCCUUUUGCUAUUGUAUGCUGGUGUUCCUGCAUCUAUCCUGUCUGCCAGUGUGACAGGAGCUCAGUGGAAGUAGCAGGUUUGUCCUACACCAAAGUUCCACAGAGAGACCGUGGUGUUUUGUUUUCAAGAUAAAUAAUUUCUCCCUUUUGUGUUCAUUGUUAAAUUAAGAUAACAAUGUGCUGGAGUCCCUCAUGUGUGACUUGUAACAUGUAGCAUGCAAUGUGUGUGAGCAUCCAAAGGUGACUUUGUGAAAAAAAAUGUAACAACAUGGUCUGCAGUAAAUGGGACCCAAAUGUUGUGCUUCCUAUUAACAGCUCGGCUGUUUCAGAGAAAGGAAGAUAAUGAAGGAAUAAAAAGAUGAAUAUAUAAGUAAGUAUUUAUAAUGUAUUAAUAGUAUUUCAAGUAGCAAGGCAUUUUGCUGUGGUCUAGUAGAAAUAGGGAAAAGACAUUGUUGUGGAAUUGGACCUGUGGCUCAUCCCUUUGGCAAGCUACCAUAGACUUUAAACAAACAUAAAGGUGGCACUAAUACAUACCCUUUAACUUGAACUUUGUACAACCGUGUAUGGAAUGGUAAUCAACUUUUGAUAUUUCUUAAUAAAGACAUUGGAAAUG
rnacentral:lncRNA from 1 species